rnacentral:tRNA from 1 species
GCGCCAUUAGCUCAGCUGGAUUAGAGCGUCUGACUACGGAUCAGAAGGCCGGGGGUUCAAAUCCCUCAUGGCGCG